AGGACGAACGCUGGCGGCGUGCUUAACACAUGCAAGUCGAACGGACUGCUUUCGGGUGGUUAGUGGCGAACGGGUGAGUAACACGUGGGUAACCUGCCCUUGACUCUGGGAUAACUCCGGGAAACCGGGGCUAAUACCGGAUAUGAUUCUGCAUCGCAUGGUGUGGGGUGGAAAGUUUUUCGGUCAAGGAUGGGCCCGCGGCCUAUCAGCUUGUUGGUGGGGUGAUGGCCUACCAAGGCGUCGACGGGUAGCC
rnacentral:rRNA from 1 species